ACUUUGUCUGCGUUAGAGAUUGCAGUGGAAAUCCUUUUUGCGAGCUACGUCAAUACCAGCGCGGAGUAGAAUCUUCCAAAAUAACCAUGCAAAUUUAAGGAAUUAAAUGCUCGAUUAUCGAGCAAAAAGAUUGUAACAAAAAGCCCGACCCGAU
rnacentral:sRNA from 2 species